GUGUCAGCCGCCGCGGUAAUACAGAGGGUGCGAGCGUUAAUCGGAAUUACUGGGCGUAAAGCGCGCGUAGGCGGCUUCGCAAGUCGAGUGUGAAAUCCCCGGGCUCAACCUGGGAACUGCAUUCGAGACUGCGUUGCUAGAGUAUGGGAGAGGGAGGUGGAAUUUCAGGUGUAGCGGUGAAAUGCGUAGAUAUCUGAAGGAACAUCAGUGGCGAAAGCGACCUCCUGGACCAAUACUGACGCUCAUGUGUGAAAGCGUGGGGAGCAAACAGGAUUAGAUACCCUCGUAGUCC
rnacentral:rRNA from 1 species